rnacentral:rRNA from 1 species
GCCGUGAAGGGUUCCGGGGAAAGGGAGGCCUCUGAUACAAGCUUUCGCCUUAAGAUGAGCCCAUGGCCCAUCAGCUAGUUGGUAGGGUAAAGGCCUACCAAGGCUACGACGGGUCGCUGGUCUGAGAGGACGACCAGCCACACUGGCACUGAGAUACGGGCCAGACUCCUACGGGAGGCAGCAGUGAGGAAUAUUGCGCAAUGGGGGAAACCCUGACGCAGCAACGCCGCGUGUGGGAAGAAGGCCUUCGGGUCGUAAACCACUUUUGCACGGGACGAAAAAGGGAUAUCGAACAAAUAUCCCCGAUGACGGUACCGUGAGAAUAAGCCAACGGCUAACUCUGUGCCAGCAGCCGCGGUAAGACAGAGGUGGCAAGCGUUGUU